rnacentral:pre_miRNA from 11 species
CCUCUGUCCCUGAGACCCUUAACCUGUGAGGUCAAAGCAGGUCACAGGUGAGGUCCUUGGGAACAGGG